AACGAACGCUGGCGGCAUGCCUAACACAUGCAAGUCGAACGAGACCUUCGGGUCUAGUGGCGCACGGGUGCGUAACGCGUGGGAACCUGCCCUUAGGUUCGGAAUAACUCCCCGAAAGGGGUGCUAAUACCGGAUAAUGUCUUCGGACCAAAGAUUUAUCGCCUUUGGAUGGGCCCGGGUUGGAUUAGCUAGUUGGUAGGGUAAAAGCCUACCAAGGGGACGAUCCAUAGCUGGUCUGAGAGGAUGAUCAGCCACGCUGGGAAUGCGACACGGCCCAGACUCCUACGGGAGGCAGCAGUGGGGAAUAUUGGACAAUGGGCGCAAGCCUGAUCCAGCAAUGCCGCGUGAGUGAUGAAGGCCUUAGGGUUGUAAAGCUCUUUUACCCGGGAUGAUAAUGACAGUACCGGGAGAAUAAGCUCCGGCUAACUCCGUG
rnacentral:rRNA from 1 species